GUGGCUCCCUUGCUGUGUUGCUACACAGACCAGCUAUGAAACGAUCCCCAGCGAAAUGUUUUCUGACCGCCCAGGCGUGGGGGUUUGCUUGAAGGCCAGCCUCUGAGAGGAGGGAGCUUGAAAGACACGGGUAGUAGUGCGAGGCCUUUGACUCCUGCAGCGCCUGUAGGAAGGACGGUUGAUUUUUGGCUCCACUGCUCCCUCUCGGCUUUCUUUUUAGAAGCCCAAUGCUUAAUCAAGUUGCAUUUGACAAGAGUGAUGAAAAACAUACAGCAACAAGGUCACCUAAUGCCAAUCAGGCUGGGACUUGAACCCAGGUUACUGUCUUUGAACUGCAGCCUAUGUUUUUGGAUUUACACAGGUGAAAAUGUUGACCUAGAAGAAUAUGGAACAAACUACUACAGCUUUAAGCUAUGGAGGAGUUUUGUUUUUUUUUAAGGAAGGAAAAAACAGGGAAGGAGAAGAAGCCGAAACAAAGGCAAGCAGAUGGCUAAAGAUGAAGGUCACAUCAGAUUGAGAAGUUUGUCAAAAUGUGAUGACAUAGGUAAUCUGUAAACUGUUAUUGCACCUAGCUGGAGGUGCUGAAAAACAUUUUGAAAUUACAAAAAACACUGGAGUCACCAGCGCACAGGCAGGAAUGAUAGCCUGGAGUGGUUCUGCUCUAUGGAUGAAUGCCAGAUGUGCAAAGCGACAUAUCUGGAAUUAAUGAUAUUAAACAUGCUUUUCUUUUAUGCUCAAUAAUAA